rnacentral:rRNA from 1 species
GAUCAUGGCUCAGGAUGAACGCUAGCUACAGGCUUAACACAUGCAAGUCGAGGGGCAGCAUGGUCUCAGCUUGCUAAGGCCGAUGGCGACCGGCGCACGGGUGAGUAACACGUAUCCAACCUGCCGUCUACUCUUGGACAGCCUUCUGAAAGGAAGAUUAAUACAAGAUGGCAUCAUGAGUCCGCAUGUUCACAUGAUUAAAGGUAUUUCGGUAGACGAG